rnacentral:tRNA from 2 species
AGGGCUGUCGCCAAGCGGUAAGGCACUGGAUUUUGAUUCCAGCAUACCCAGGUUCGAAUCCUGGCAGCCCUGCCA